AUUCCGUAGGUGAACCUGCGGAAGGAUCAUUAUCGAGUUUCGAGAGGAAGGAAGUUGAGGAGUGGAGACUGUCGCUGGUUUUCCCGUCUGGGUAGCAUGUGCACGCCUUGCUUUUCGUUGACCUUUCUCUUACUCUCACACCUGUGCACCCAUUGUAGGUCCUCGAAAAAGGUUCUAUGUUUUUAUCAUCACACGCAUCGUAUGUCCAUAGAAUGUAACAUGAUCGUCGAUCGACCUCGCGGCCGUGUGGCGGUCAAAAUAAAUAAAUACAACUUUCAGCAACGGAUCUCUUGGCUCUC
rnacentral:misc_RNA from 1 species